CCUACGGGUGGCAGCAGUGAGGAAUAUUGGUCAAUGGACGAGAGUCUGAACCAGCCAAGUAGCGUGAAGGAUGACUGCCCUAUGGGUUGUAAACUUCUUUUAUAUGGGAAUAAAAUGUUCCACGUGUGGGAGUUUGUAUGUACCAUAUGAAUAAGGAUCGGCUAACUCCGUGCCAGCAGCCGCGGUAAUACGGAGGAUCCGAGCGUUAACCGGAUUUAUUGGGUUUAAAGGGGGCGUAGGUGGAUUGUUAAGGCAGUUGGUAAAGUGUGCGGCUCAACCGUAAAAUUGCAGUUGAAACUGGCAGUCUUGAGUACAGUAGAGGUGGGCGGAAUGCGUGGUGUAGCGGUGAAAUGCAUAGAUAUCACGAAGAACUCCGAUUGCGAAGGCAGCACACCGGCCUGCAACUGACACUGAGGCUCGAAAGUGUGGGUAUCAAACAGGAUUAGAUACCCGAGUAGUC
rnacentral:rRNA from 1 species